rnacentral:rRNA from 1 species
UGAGGAAUAUUGGUCAAUGGUCGGGAGACUGAACCAGCCAAGCCGCGUGAGGGAUGAAGGUGCUAAGCAUUGUAAACCUCUUUUGUCAGGGAACAAAGGCAUCCACGAGUGGGUGUGUGAGUGUACCUGAAAGAAAAAGCAUCGGCUAACUCCGUGCCAGCAGCCGCGGUAAUACGGAGGAUGCGAGCGUUAUCCGGAUUUAUUGGGUUUAAAGGGUGCGUAGGCGGCCUGUUAAGUCAGCGGUAAAAGCCCGGGGCUCAACCCGGCGAGCGUUGAACAUGGCUGGCUGGAGUUGGCGAGAGUAUGCGGAAUGCGCGGUGUAGCGGUGAAAUGCUUAGAUAUCGCGCAGAACUCCGAUUGCGAAGGCAGCAUGCCGGCGCCACACUGACGCUGAGGCACGAAAGCGUGGGGAUCAAACAGGAUUAGAUACC